rnacentral:SRP_RNA from 19 species
UGCCAGGCUAGGCCGGGGGGUUAGGCGUCCCCUGUAACCCGAAAGCGUCUAUACGCGGGGGCGACAGCCGAGGGCGGUGUAACCAGGCCCGUUUCAGACCAUGCAGCCCUGUUGAAGCUCUGUCCUCCGGGGUCGCGGGAGCGCUGUGGGCUUUCGGAGGGAAGCUCCACAGCGCUUUGCCACGGGAACCCCGCCAGGCCCGGAAGGGAGCAGCGGUACCGUGGACCGUUGGCGCUCGGAGGGUAGCGGGGCGGAGGGGCUGUAUGGGCCCCUGGAAUGGGUUCUGGGCAUCCACCUCGGCGUGCCUGGCA